AGAUUCAGGACAAUGCUUGGCCUCAGAUUUGAUGGGUCCUCAAACAGGGGACAGAUCAACCUGCUGACUUGCCAUGUGACCUCAAGGAAGUCACUGAACUUCUCUUGUUCUAAUUUGCUCAUCUUUAACAUGGAGGAUUCAGCUCAUUGUGCUCUAAGGCGACUUUCAUAGCAAAAAUGCUGUGAUUUGAUAAUUCUAAGCAUCUGAGAAUGUUUUCUUUGGCCCUCAGCCAUCCCAGGAUGUUUGAUAAAAUCUGAUCAUUUGGAUAAGUCCCAGGAAAGGAACAGAUCAGAGCCUGCAUUGGGUGUUGAGAGCCCACCUGAUGGGAGUGUGUGCGUGCAUGUGGUGGGGAACGGGGAGCAUGGUAAAGUGUGGAGACUGAGAACUAGAAAGAAUUAAAGAUUAUUCAACUUGUUCCAAAUAUGGAAACUGAGCCCCAGAGAAGGAAAUGAUUCGUUCAAGUUCAUACAGCUAGUUAAAGGCAGAACCGGAAUUAGAAUUAAUCCAUUCCUAGGUUAUUUCCCCUACAAUGAGUAUGACAAAUACAUUUCCUUUUCUGUCCUCUGAUCAAUUAACAGUGGCUGCCUAGAGCACUGACUUCUGGAAGUUUCCCAGGUCCUUCAGAAUUCAGCAACAAGAGUGACGAUUGAUUAGCAAUGUCUGAUAUGGCCACAGGAAAGGAGAGUGGUCACCCAGACUUUGUCAGCCCCGACUUUCCAGGACUCGUGAUAGAACUUAAUUGCCAGUGGGGAACUUGAGGCUCAUUCUUCAUAGAGAACCAACAGGUGAAAGAAGAGCAGUAAACUACGUAACUCCUUCUGCAGAAAAUUCUUUUAAGUGCCUGGUCCGAAAUUCAGAGGUGGUAGUCAAUGCAUGCUUAGGGAACCAAUUCAGUCAAAGUUUGCUAAGUAACACUGGGAACAAAUAGUGUUGCAAACUGUGAAAAGGGACGCAGAACAAGAUAAUACGUAAGGUAGAGACACAUUGUACAAUAUGCACCAGAAGUUUUUGUUGUAUUUUUUAAUGUUGCUCCAACUGUAAUAUCACUGCUUAGACUAAGACGGUGAAAUUAAUUGAUUUACUUUCAGACGCAUAGUUGCAAAGUUGUAUGUAAAACUAUAUGAGCAUAUGGACUAGCUAACCCCGCCAUGCCUAAAUUUAAUUCUAGUCAAUAAUAAUAACAACAAUAGCUAUGUCAUUUAAUCCUCACAACAAUCUUAUGAGACUGGUCCCUGAGUGUUCCAAGGACCCAUGCAUCUAGUCACAAAGGUUGCUGGGAGUAUCCUCCAUCUUGGCCUUAAAGGACUCCCUUUCAGCUUCUUGGAUUCAGAUCUGUCUCUCUGGGAACUGAUUUCCCAUAUUCCCAAAGCAAUAGCCAGCUCCCAGCUUCAUCAUUCAGGAAAAAGAGCAAGCGUCUCCCCUUCAUCCUCUCCAUCUCCCACAGUACAUUAAGUACAAGCCCAAGGAGAAGAAUCAUGAGCAAUGAAUCUUCAUCAAA